GUACGGUACACGACGGUACCAGUAGUAGGCGGUACAUGUGACCAGAGGCAGAGAGGACAGUGACAGUGCAUAUACUUCCGAUUUUGUCUCUAAAAUGGACGUCCAUCAUUAAAAAAAUACAAUACCUGUAUCAUUUUACCGAAGAGAAUGAGUUUAGAUUCAGUAACAAUCACCGGGAUAGCACAAAAAGCACGAAAUACUUUCUAUUUGGUGAUUUUGUUGUAACUUAGUUCAAGCAAUCUGAUUUUCUUUCGAGCUCGUGCAUUUCUGGUACGGUAUCUGCAAAAGCAUAAACGAGUAAUCGCACGAGAUGGAUUUUUUCUUUUAAUUAUAGUAUGAUUUAGGAGUAAAAUAAAAUGAAUAGAUUAUGCCUAAUAUCAACGAGAAAUACUACAAAAAACAAGUUCUAAGAGGCAUAGCGAGAACUUUAUAAAGAAUGGGAACAAGUACUAAGGAAAAUUUUUCUGAAAUUGAAAAUCCCAUUUGAAAUCGAAACAAGCAAAUUUUGAAAUUAAAAAAAAAUGUGAAUUUGAGCCGUAGAGGAUUGGGGGGGGGGGGGCAUAAGCACCCUCCCCCUUUCAAUCGAGAGUCAUUAAAAUAUUUGUUGUGGUAAAUAUCGGACAUAGUGAACUGACCCAUGGCCGUAUGCAGAAAUUUUUCGCGGGUAGGGGGGGGGGGGGGGUGGGCAAGAUGCAUAAAAUAUAAAAAAUUGAAAGGAAGUGAGAAAAGUGACCGAGCUUGUCAUUGCGUCUUUCCAUUCUGUAAAGGGCAAUUGAAGCAUUUCGUGCAUGCCUUUAAUUAAUUUUGUAAAAAAAAAAAAACAUUAAGUUUUCAAUAUCCCCCCCCCCCCCCCCCGCUGCAUACGGCCAUGAACUGACUUUUUUUCGUUUAGGUUUCUUUUUGCUUUUAUGUUCAGAUUUUUCGUGGAAUAUAUUACCUUUAUUUGGGAGUGAAACUCAUUUUUUAUCAACUUGUAAGAUUUUACUGAAUAAGCAUACAACCCCCGGGCCCCGUUGAAAAAGCUGGAUCCACCCCUAAACUUCAGUAGUGAUAUGAUGUGAUUAAAAUUAUUAAGGGAGCGAAUGAGGGAAAACCAAGCAAUAUAACAAUAAUGGAAACAAUUAUGUCCGGAAGUGGCAGUAUACUUAAAUCAAAAAAAGAAAUAUAUCCAAUUAAAUGACAUUAAAUUGCGCAGUACGUUUUUCAUGAAUGUGUAUGAAAAAUGAUUAAAGUAAAACAAUCAGCUAGAAAUGUGGAAAGACAAACUUACCUUAUUCAUUUAAUGCACAACAUAGUUAUAGUUUGAACAUCGGGUAUAGUCGAGGACGGCCUGGCAUCAGCAUGGGUGAGGGGGUGCAUGGGUUACAUGUAUUUCUUUUCUUAUCAGUCGUUCCAAUUUAUCCAUCAUUUGCUUUCAUUUAGUCAGUAUCAACCUCUCUUGUUCUACACGUACACAUACGCCUGCUAUAUAUAUAUAUAUAUCUUAAUUUCUCUUAAUCUCUAUUAAGUCAAUCCCUUUAUUUUAUUAUUCAAUAUCAAUAGUUCCGGUCCUCUUUUCUUCUAUCGCUCUUAAUUUUUUGUUGAAUAUCUUCUACGUCUAUCCCUUUAUUUUAUUCACUAUCAAUUGUUAUUGUCUUAUCUUUUAUUCUUCUACCGUUCUUGUUCGAUCUCUUUUAAGUCUAUAUACAUUUAAUUAUUUUAUUUCUUCAGAUCAUUCUUUCCUUUCUUCUCUCGCAUUUCUCUUUAACUUCAAUCGUUCCAUCAGUCAUACAUGUAUAAUAUGACGGUACAAGACUCUUACAUUGUUUUAUUUCUUCAGUAUCAAUCUUCCCUAUCUAAUGUGUACAUUAUUUUAUACAGAUAUUAGAUAAGAUCAGGAAUCUACUCGUAUAUUAAUUACUCUUGAAACGUGGUUGAAUUGAACAACCCUAGCUAUAUGUGGACUUGACUGGGGUCAAUUAAUUACACCGUCUGGCGCGUUUUGUGGACAAUGAAUAGAGGUGUGAAGAUUAUAGAACAGCUAACAAUGAGAAGACUGUAAGUUACACAAUGAUCUUUUGUGUAACUGUUUGAAUAGAACAUGUAUUAAGCCGGCCCACUGAUCAGUGAUUAAGCCAGUCUAUGAUCAAUGCCCACCCCCAAAUUGUCCAAUAUAGUCGGCAUUUGGGGGCCCGGAGUGGUGAUGAGAGUGACGAUGAUGGCCAUGAGAAAAAUGAUAAGGAGGAAGAUGUUGAUAUUGAAAAUCAAUUAUAUUUUUUGUAUAAAAUCACCUGUUCUUGAUAAAAAGAGAAACAAUUACAAUAAGUCCAGGUUGUCUGUUCUAUAUAGACGAACAGUACACAGGGCAACAUAAAAUGAAUAUAAAUAAACAAAUUAGCAAGAGAUAAUAUGCACAUGGAUUAAAACGAGUCAAUUCGUAAAAAUAUAUCAUUGCAACAUUUUAUUAAUAUUACUAAAAUACAUUAGGGAAAUACGUUUUAAAUGCUAAACGUUAGGAAAAUGUAUUAUAGCAUUGAGAAAACCAUACAUUUUAUAUGAUUUUAACAUUUCCGUUCAACAUUUUCAUGUUUUACCAAACAUUUUUUUUGAUAUUUUGUCAAUGUUUUUUGUGUUCGCUCGGGUUACACGGAAAAUGGAGUAUAUUGGUCAAGCAAAAAAAGUGGAAGGUGGUGACUUGACCUUUUGACGCUUGUAUCAUAUACACACCAAAUAAUAUAAGCCUCGGGUUAAGUUAAACUGGAGUUAUCAUGUUUAUAAGGAAAUGUUAACGAAUGGAGGGACAGACGGAUACCGAGCGUGAUACCAAGUUACGUCUCGUCUUAUACGGGCGGGCGUAAAAAGACGAUAUAUUACUUGUAGGGGGAGGCUGUUGCUGGAAUGAUGGACGGAGAGAAAGGGAACAGUAACACAACAUGCAAAAAAAAUAUUUAAGGAAGAUACAGGGGGGGGGGGGCUGAAUAAGAUUUUUCAGAAAGUGCUGAUGCUAGGCAUUUAAAGCAGGGCCACUUGCGGGUAUUCUUUUUCCGGGAAGGGGGGGGGGGUUCAAGAUAGCCGAUCGAAGAGGAAAGUGGGCGAAGUAGGAGGAAGAAGACGACGGCUAAGAGAAAGAAAUAAAGGAUAAAGAAGAUAAGGAUAAGAGAGAAGCAACAGAUGAUAUGAUGGAUGAACGAAUGAACAUGGUAAAGAUAAAGGUAAAGAAAGAAGAACAGGAACAAAAAGAAGUGAAAGACAUAAGAAGAAUUGAAUGAGGAGAAUAAAUAUACAAAUGAUGAUGAUGAUAUUGUUAAUUAAUAUCUUUGGGUAUAAAAUCAACUGUUAUUGAUAGCGAAAAAAUGAAAAAUGAUGGGAAGCGAAUCAUCUUUGAAUAAAAGACGUAACCGAUAAAAUAAACACACAGAAUUGAUAAACACAAAAUGAUGGAAAGCAAAUCUACUCGUUCUUUGAAUAAACAGACGAAACUGAUUAAAUUAAAACACAGAAUUGAUGAACAGGAAAAUGGAAAGCAAAUCUACUCGUGCUCUGAACGUCAUAAUGAUGGAAAGUGAAUCUACUCGUUCUUGGAAUGAACGAUGUAACUGAUAAAAUAAAAAUACAGAAUUGUUGAACAGAAAAAUGAUGGACAGCGUUUCUUCUUUAGAUAAAAGACGUAACUGAUGAACAAUGAAAACAAAACACAGAAUUGAUGGAACUCAAAAAAUGAUGGAAAAGGAAUCAACUCGUUCUUGCCAUGAACGAUGUAACUGAUAAAAUAUACAGAAUUGAACAGAAAAAUGAUUGAAAGCGAAUCUUCUUUGAAUAAAAGACGUAAAUGAUUAAAUUAUUUAAAAAAAACUGAAUAAUGAUGAACAGAAAUUGGGAAAAACGAAUCUACUUUCCUUUGAAUGAACGACGUAACUGAUAAAAUAAAAAUACAGAAUUAAUGAACAGAAAAUGAUGGAAAGCGAAUCUUUGAAUAAAAGUCGUCAGUGAUGAAAAAAAACACAGAAUAUUGAUGAACAGAAAAUGAUGGUUAGCAAAUCUAGUAAUAUCUGUUCCAUUCUUAAUGGAUUUCACAUCUCAUUGGUUGUGUUUUUUUUUUUAAUGUUCUAUAACUAUGAUUAAUUCUAACUUGAUUCUAAAUCUCUGUUUCAUAACUUCAUAAUAAAACUCAAAUCUGAAUUAUACUCGUCCUUUGAAUUAACGUCGUAACUGAUUAAAUGAAAAAAGGGUCAAUCAAUGAACAGAAAAAUGAUGGUAAGCAAAUCUACUCGUCCUUUGAAUGAACGACGUAACUGAUAAAAUAAAAAUGCAGAAUUUAUGAACAGAAAAAUGAUGGAAAGCGAAUCUUUGAUUAAAAGACGUAAGUGAGGAAAUUGAAGAAAAAACAGAAUUGAUAAACAGAAAAUGAUGGUUAGCAAAUCAACUCGUCCUUUAAAUGAACGAUGUAUUACUGAUUAAAAAAAACAAAAAAACAAUGAACAGAAAAUGAUGGAAAGCGAAUCUUCUUCUUUGAAUGAUGAAUAGAAAAAUGAUGAAAAUACUCGUUCUUUUGAAUGAAAUACGUACCUGAUUAAAAUUACAGAAUUGAAGAACAAAAGAUAAAAAAUAAAAGAUAGAAAAAGAUUAUCUACUUGAUUUGACUUUAUUUUACAUAUUUCACAAGUACAAACAAAAUUAUGAAAAUAAUAUCAGAAAACUUAUGAGAAUACAAAUCAGACAACAAUUAAUUCAAAUUAAAGAAAAUAGCGAUUUGGAAUUAAAGACAAUUUAAAAGAGUGAAAUAUGAGGGAACCUGCAUAAAAAGCAAGACUUGUCCUUUAAACGGAAGACGUCUUUGAUAACAUAAACACUGAAAAAUAAACCAUGGAUCUAGCUCCACAAAUAAACAGUGGAAAGAUAAUCUACUCGUCCUUUAAGCCAAAGAUGUAACUAUAACUGGGUCACUCGGUCAGGAGCUGGGCACAUGGAUUUCUAGCGGGGACUCGUCUGAUGCGCGCGCUUGAGGCAGUUUUUCAACCCGCUGUCUAGCUAUUGGGAAUUUAGGAUUUUCAACCCGCUGUCUAUCGGGUUGAAUAUCUUGAAGUGCAAAUGACGGGAUGGUGAAUUAAAAGAGAAUUGGACUAAGUGGGUUUAGCCCGAAUGUUGUUAGCCCAUCUGAUGAUUAGACCAAGUGAUAAUAGACCAUCCAUCAGUAAACCGACGGGAUUGCAUCGGGAUUGCGUCGUGUUUUGACAAAAAAGUGCCUAGAGUUGAGGCGCAAACUACAUGAACAAAUAGAGAUCAAAUCUGAAAAAAAUCUCGUGUUUUACGUGAGCAUUGGGCCUCUCUUCUGCCAGCUGCAUGCGUGAAAUUGACGCGUGAAUUUCACGCGCGAAAUCGGCUGGUGGUAAUUUUUUGGGUCACGCCUGUCUCGCGGUAGAUGCGUGACCCUUCGGAAGGGUGUCAACUUUAUUCCGAGCAAUACUGUAGCAGACCUAUAAUAUACGAGUGAGCUGUGCUUAACAAGUUAUAAGAUUUUGGACCAUACCCGAUUUCGGGAACCUCUGCCCAUAUAGGUACUUCAAUCUGACAACAAACAGACUGAUUAACCUCGCCUUAUACCCUGUAGUCUCACUACAACCUACCUCGCCUCCCGGCCUCCGUGAUUGUGACAUCGAUAGGCCUGACAAUCAUCAGCUCAGCCUCAUAGCUCAACUUCACCUGCAUCAAGCCAGCAGAUUUGAAACUGCACCGCCACCGGAUAUGAUUGUUCUAUUGCUCCGGCCCGACCCGGUAACUACCUCACACUGAACCAAGUGAAGACUGUCAGUCACGUCGAUCAACUGAUGCACAUAGCUCUUCCAUAACCAGUUGAGUUAGGAUCAUGAUUUCCCAACUAAAGAAAACUGGAUAUUUAGCUAAACUCUCGGGCGCACCGGCCAGCUCUCUCUCUCUCCCGGGCAAGUCUUGUGAUGCGUCGGCACAGGCACUCAUCUGCAUUCCGCUGAGCGUGGUGGCUCGAUGAAAAAUUCCCUGCAAGACCAUCGUUGAAAAAGGAAUGGUUAAAGCAACUUUCGAUGGAAGACAAAUUCAAUAAGAAGUAGAUGUUCAUUACAUUUCAAGAACAUUUUGGAAAACAGAAAUUGAUCACUUUCAGAGGGAAACUCAAGGGGACAGCAGAUCCAAGAUUAAAUGAGCUGGGAGAAACGAUGAAAUCGAACGGCAUGACAGACACACAAAUAAGUGAAACUUUCAGUACAUGGGGAUGCUCAUGAAAUCCUAAACAACGAAGCACUACAUAACCAAAAAAUGCAGCGGGAGAAGAUAUACUCGCAUGCUCCAUCCACUAUCUGUCCCCACGAUAAUACCAACAUUUAAGAACAAUUUUGUCACUACCCUCGCAAUGCACGAUAAGGAAACUUUUAAGUACCAUAAAUGAGGAACCUGGCUUCACCACAGAAUCAAUCAAAGCUAUGACAGUAAUUCAAGCCAAGAGCAGUACUCCAAUCUAUUGGACCUUAAUUUUUGCCGCGAUAAGCAUAAGAUCACAAAUAAGCUACAACAAGCCAAAGGAUAAAAAAGUUGGGUUCACAGAUGUUGGGAAAGGUAAAGCCCAGUCACAAGGAGAUAAGGAGCCGGCAACACAGGCCCUUAGCAAGUGUGUGUUGCAAUGAACAAGAGGGUUAAGUUGACGUAAGGGCAUUUUCCACUCAAACGACUCAUUUCUACCUUUCGAUGUGCCCUCCUCAAAGAAUGCCUGCAUCUGUUGAAUGACCAAGGCUUUAGAAUAUCAGCCAUUGUAUGUGAUGGUGCAUCAACAAAAAAAUCCACACCAACAAUGAUGGUGCCAAGCUCAAUGUACCACACAACAUUGACGGCAGAUUCGGAAAUCCUGCCAAUGGUGACACCAUCAUUUUCUUUCCCGAUAUAUGUCACAAUAUCAAGCUAUUGAGGAAUCUCCUGGCAGACAGAGAGACACUAUUCUUCAAUGGAACGCAGAAGUCCACAGACGGUACCCCGUUAAUAGUGCAAGCGCUAUUGGAUACACAUAUCGCCCAAAAGGAGUCUAUUAUAGCAGGGUGCUUUCUUGUUAUUCUACUCCGGAUGGAUUGUGGUGUUAUCUGACCAUACUAUACCUAUGUGGAUUUGAUGCUGAGAUCUUGCUAAGAACUGACGUGCACGUACGGAAUGCCACGGGAACAGAACCUUUCUGAGAUGUCAUAUUUCUGCAGCAAGGGAUCAAAAUUGUUGGUGGUAACAAUGAGGAUGUUGGAGAGAAUGACCUUCGGGUCUUUGUGAAGAUGGUUAUCCCUAGCGGGUAGCAGCGAAGAUGUUGCAGAUAAUGACCUCAGGAUCUUUUUUAAGACGGUGAUCCUUGGCGGGUAACAGCGAGGAUGUUACAGAGAAUGACCUUGGGUGAUGCCUGGCGGGUAACGGCGAGGAUGUUGCAGAGAGUGACCUCGGAAUCUUUGUGAAGAGGAUGAUGCCUGGCGGGUAACAGCGAGGAUGUUGCAGAGAAUGAUGUUGGAAUCUUUGUGAAGAGGAUGAUCAUUGGCAGGCAACAGCAAGGAUGUUGCAGAGAAUGACCUCAGAUCUUUCUAAAGAUGGUGACCCUUGGCGGGUAACAGCGAGGAUGUUGCAGAGAAUGAUGUUGUUAUCUUUAUAAAGAGGAUGAUCAUUGGCGGGUAACAGCUAGGAGGUUGCAGAGAGUGACUUUGGGAUCUUUGUCAAGACAGUGAUCCUUGGUGGGUAACAGCGAGGAUGUUGCAGAGAAUGAGCAUGAGAUCUUUGUGAAGAGGAUGAUCAUUGGCGGGUUAGCUUUAGAGAGUGGAUGUCUCUAUGAAGGAUCAGAUGAAGAGUGUCAGCAGUGAAAGUUUUAAUUUUUUUGGACUGAUGAGCGCUAUUGAUAUUUCAGCAGAGACCGGUGGACUUGUGAAAUAAAGGAAAUUCAGUGUCACAAAAAACUGUCAAACAUUUUGAGCCCCACAUUUCCUUUACAUUUAAAAUUUUCUCAUGAUACUAUAAUUCAAACCUUAAAUCAAUCAAGUAGAAAAAUAGAAAUCAGAUUACCAAGCAGGAUUUCUUAAUUUUAUUGCUUGAAUUAUAUCGGCCUGUAAUUUCUUAAUCCAAUUGAGUGUGACCGUUAUGUUCUGUCUGUUUGUAACUCUUAGCUACUCAGCUGUAGUUCUGCAGCAGAGUAACUAAGAGUUGCAAACAGGCAAAACAAAUUGGUUGCCCCAGGCAACAUGAUUAUAAUGUCAUUAAUAAUGAUAAUAAUAUCUGGAUUUAUUAAGCGCUUUUUGCCUGAGGAUACAAAGCGCUGUUGUUAUUACCCGGCUUUAGCUCGAGCUACCAUCACCGGCGCUCAGUGCAUGCAAGGAAUUACUCCUGCCGGGUACCCAUUCACCUCACCUGGGUCGAGUGCAGCACAGUGUGGAUAAAUUUCUUGCUGAAGAAAACAUGCCAUGGCUAGGAUUCAAACCCAUGACCCUCUGUUUCAAAGGCAAAAGUCAACUACUAGACCACAACAUACCCACAUUUUCAUUGGCUGGUAAAUUCAAGCAAUGAAGUUUAGAAAUCUUGCUUCGUAAUGAUAUUCCAUAUUCAUACUUAAUUGAUAAUAUCAUAUGAAAUGAUAAUAUCAGAUGGAACUUUGAAGAAAUUUUGGCCUUCAACUGCUUAAUUGUCAAACUUCUUGACUCUGUGAAUUUCGAUUGUAUUUAUUUAUUUCACGUAGUCCACCGGUCUGUAAGAAAUUGCAUCACUGACUGGAAGCAUUGGUCGGUCAUCUAUGGACCAGUCAGAUAAACUCAGCCCUAGUUUCAACUGAAUGAAGUCAUCCAGCUGGAACAGGAAUGUUGGAGUGAAACAGAGCUGAGAAGGAUCUAGACAGAGAUGAACUUGAUAAUGCAAGAUUGGAUUACACGGACACACUUGGACUAUCACUCCUCAUUUUGCUACAUGAGAAAGGACCUUCCUAAUAUUGCUUCUAUGGAUAAGAGACUCAAUCCUGAAUUCUAUUGGAACAAGAGAAGAAUGAAGGUGAAAAGAAGAGAGAUGUGCCAGAUCUGAAUCUAAUGAAAUGUAUCGUGAAAUGCUCCAGAAGAAAUAGGAGGACGAGGAGGAAGAACAAGCAGCGGAAGUAAUGCAUGGCUCCACCCAUUAUCAGAAAUCUGAAAUUUGAUGUGACCAAGAGAAGAAAGAAGGUGAAAAGAAGAGAAAUGUGCCAGAUCUUAACCUAAUGAAAUGUAUCGUGAUAUGCUCCAGAAGAAAUAGGAGUAUGAGGAGGAAGAACAAGCAGUGAAAGGACUUCUUGGCUCCAGCCAUUAUCAGAAUCUGAAAUUUGAUGCCAUUAUAUCAAGGGAGAGAAUGCUAGAAGAGGGACAAACAGAGUUCGACUUUCCUGUAAUCUUGUUGGAACAUUAAUGACCUGUCGACUGUUCAACGGAGGCUACACGAUGGUGAAGGCCGUGAAGGCACUGGUUGAAUUAAUGUCACCUAGUGUACAACUUGGAUGCACCCGUAAUUAGUGUUAACCAUCUACCAAGUUUAAAUGAGAGUGACGGUCUACCAGAGACGAGGACAUGGCACCGUUCUUGAAUCUUCUUCUACGCACAGUGUCUGAUGUUAACCAUCUACCAAGUUUAAAUGAGAGUGACAGUAUAACAGAGACGAGGACAUGGCACCGUUCUUGAAUCUUCUUCUACGCACAGUGUCUGAUGUUAACAAUCUACCAAGUUUAAAUGAGACUGACAGUAUAACAGAGACGAGGACAUGGCACCAUUCUUGAAUCUUCUUCUACGCACAGUGUCUGAUGUUAACCAUCUACUAAGUUUAAAUGAGAGUGACGGUCUACCAGAGACAAGGACAUGGCACCGUUCUUUAAUCUUCAUCUACGCACAGUGUCUGAUGUUAACCAUCUACCAAGUUUAAAUGAGAGUGACGGUCUACCAGAGACGAGGACAUGGCACCAUUCUUUAAUCUUCAUCUACACACAGUGUCUGAUGUUAACCAUCUACCAAGUUUAAAUGAGAGUGAUGGUCUACCAGAUACAAGGACAUGGCACCAUUCUUUAAUCUUCAUCUACGCACAGUGUCUGAUGUUAACCAUCUACCAAGUUUAAAUGAGAGUGACGGUCUACCAGAGACAAGGACAUGACACCAUUCUUUGAUCUUCAUCUACACACAGUGUCUGAUGUUAACCAUCUACCAAGUUUAAAUGAGAGUGACAGUAUAACAGAGACAAGGACAUGGCACCAUUCUUGAAUCUUCUUCUACGCACAGUGUCUGAUGUUAACCAUCUACUAAGUUUAAAUGAGAGUGACGGUCUACCAGAGACAAGGACAUGGCACCGUUCUUUAAUCUUCAUCUACGCACAGUGUCUGAUGUUAACCAUCUACCAAGUUUAAAUGAGAGUGACGGUCUACCAGAGACGAGGACAUGGCACCAUUCUUUAAUCUUCAUCUACGCACAGUGUCUGAUGUUAACCAUCUACCAAGUUUAAAUGAGAGUGAUGGUCUACCAGAGAAAAGGACAUGGCACCAUUCUUUAAUCUUCAUCUACGCACAGUGUCUGAUGUUAACCAUCUACCAAGUUUAAAUGAGAGUGACGGUCUACCAGAGACAAGGACAUGACACCAUUCUUUGAUCUUCAUCUACACACAGUGUCUGAUGUUAACCAUCUACCAAGUUUAAAUGAGAGUGACAGUAUAACAGAGACGAGGACAUGGCACCAUUCUUGAAUCUUCUUCUACGCACAGUGUCUGAUGUUAACCAUCUACCAAGUUUAAAUGAGAGUGACAGUAUAACAGAGACGAGGACAUGGCACCAUUCUUGAAUCUUCAUCUACACACAGUGUCUGAUGUUAACCAUCUACCAAGUUUAAAUGAGAGUGACAGUAUAACAGAGACGAGGACAUGACACCAUUCUUUGAUCUUCAUCUACACACAGUGUCUGAUGUUAACCAUCUACCAAGUUUAAAUGAGAGUGACAGUAUAACAGAGACGAGGAAAUGACACCAUUCUUGAAUCUUCAUCUACGCACAGUGUCUGAUGUUAACCAUCUACCAAGUUUAAAUGAGUGACAGUAUAACAGAGACGAGGACAUGGCACCAUUCUUGAAUCUUCAUCUACACAGAAUGUUUGGUGUAUGGUUAUUUUUAGUGAAGUAUGAUAAAAGAAAAAGGAUACAUUUGGCACCAUACUCUUCAUCUUGUGUCCAUAAUCUUCCCUGUACCAUUAUCACAAGAUUAGAGAUAAUUUGAUGACUAAUUGACCACUUAUAAAGACAUUCCUAAAUAAUCUUAAAGAUUACAAUUAUAAUUGAAUUACCAGCAGAGUUAUUGAUUUUGAAUCCUGGACAAAGUUAAUACUUCCUGUAAAUACCCCAAUAUUUCUGUUAAAUGUAAGUUCUCUGUGGUACUAAUUUUUGCAAUCAUUUGAUAAUUCAAAUCAAGAUCAUUCUUGCAUGCACCGGAACCCAAUCAGAAUAGUUGUUUUAUAUUUUACCGGGACCCAAUCAGAAUAGUUUUUUUAUAUUUUACCGGGACCCAAUCAGAAUAGUUUUUUUAUAUUAUCAAUCCACCAACAAGGUCCAUUUUCUAGGUUUUAGGUGUUCUUUUUAAUUUGGGAGAAUUUGUCAUGUAAAUCACACUGAGUGAGACAAAUGUCUCUUCAAACUUCAUGUCAAUUUAUUUAAAACAUUUUUUAUAUCAAAUAUGUGACUUGCAUAUCUGUGCAUUCACUCAUGAACCCAUUUAGUUAUGUAUUUUAUAAUAAUUUUUUAUAGCCCCAAGGGGCAGGUCCAAGCUACAAUGUAUAACUUUUUUUCUUAACCCUAUAUAGCCAUAAAUUCAAAGACAAAGAAAUCCAUUAGAAAUUUUGAAAAACAUUAAAUGCAUAUUUUAUUUUGAACUGCCAUUUUUUAAUGUACAUUUGAUAACAAUCCUGAAAGGUGUUUCCAGACCAAAAUGUAGUAGUUGUUUAGCUUUAUUUAUAAAUUCUGCUUUUAUCAAUUAAUUGAAAUUUUGGUACAAUUAACUAUUUUAACUUUUUUACUUGAUCGCCAAAUCUCAGUACCCACCCCCAUGCAAUGUGGAAAUAGCCCAGGCUAUGUAGGGUUACGUUUGGAAAUAAUUUGUAAGUAUUGUGAGGCUCAUGCUUCAUUAGAAUUGAGAUGGUUUGGUGACUAGGCCUUGGAGAUAUUUGUAGAAUUAACUAAGUUUUUAACUUUAUCUUGAUGAAUUAUGACUCUGUGUUUAGGCCGAAAAAAUUGUUAUGUUGCCUUCAUAAGCCCUAAAUCCAAAAGCUGGAUUCGUCGGUCGGUUUUCUUUCCUUUUAAAGUACCUUCACUGCUGCGCUGUAUAAAAAAACAAUCUUGAAUUAUUUAUGUAGUCAAACAUUGAAUUCAAAUUUGCGAAAAUCCUUCACCCAAAUCUGACAAUUUCUCACAAAAAUCUUUGCUUUUCAAUUUAAUUUUGGUCCAAUUUAAAAAAAGAAUAGCGACCCUGUUUUUUUUUUUUUUUUUUUUUAAUGUCGGUCGGAUGAGGGCGGCAACAUAACUUUUUUUAUUAGGCCUUAUUUUGUGUUGAUUAUUCUGCAAAAGUGGACCCAAAGGUUUUCCAGAGUUUUUCCUACUUGAGUUUUAUCUCUGGUUUUUUACCCUGGAUCUACUUGUCGUAGAAUUUUUCAACACCCCCCCCCC